rnacentral:rRNA from 1 species
AUUGAACGCUGGCGGCAGGCCUAACACAUGCAAGUCGAGCGUGCGGCGGACGGGUGAGUAAUGCCUGGGAAUUGCCCAGUCGAGGGGGAUAACAGUUGGAAACGACUGCUACUACAGUAUACGAUUCGAUUGACCAGGUGUGAUUGGCUAGUUUGUGAGGGAAUGGCUAACAAACGCGACGAGCCCUAGCUUGUCUGAGAGGAGGACCAGCCACACUGGAAUUGAGACAGGGUCCAGACACCUACGUGAGGCAGCGGUGGGGAAUAUUGCCAAAGGGGGGAAACCCUGAUGCAGCCAUGCCGCGUGUGUGAAGAGGGCCUUCGGGUUGGAAAGCAUUUGCAGCGGGGAGGCGUUACUCGCAGAAGAAGCACCGGCUAACUCCGAGCCAGCAGCCGCGGUAAUAC